UGAGAUGGAGGAGGAGCGCCUCGCCGCGGCCAGCGCCGCCAGCAAGGCCAUGGCCAUGAUGUGGCGCCUGUAGAAGGAGAAGGCCGAGGUCCAGAUGGAGCUCCGUCGCUUCACCGCCGAGAUCGACGACCUUCGUGCCCUCAUCGCCGUCGAGGAGCGGGAUGCCGAGGCGGAAGAGGAAAUCUUCAGGAGCUACGGGAUCGACGUCCGACCGCCGCCAUGACCGGCCUCUUGCGCAGCUCCCGGCCGCCGUCUCCUGUGCCUCCUCCCGUGUCUCCCCCACCUCGCCUGUGCAGCACCGUGGCUGCACGUCGCCGGCGCCAUCUGUUGCAGCCCCACAGUCAACCACCUGCACGCCAUGGGCAACAGCCAUGGAGGCCGCUUGCUCGCCCCUCACCAGCCAAUACCUCCGCCAACAUAUCAUCCAUCAAUCAGCAACUAAGCAGGAGGACUGCAUGUGAUUUUGGACCUUGGGAGCGACUGGGUGAUUAUAUGCCAGCAUAUGUGGAGGACGAUGGGAAGACGAGCUAGACGCCAGAAGCAAUAUUGCAACACCAUGCUUGAGGAACUUGAUUCUACCAGUAUAUAAGCAUUAUACUUUCUAACACUGAGAGCUUAAUUAUUUUUGAUGCAACCAGUCCGUCCAAGUAUGCAAAUAUCUGAUGCAUGUGCAAUCAGUACUUUUGCAUGUCUAAUACAUGUAGAAAGAUCCGAAUUUGGUCAUUAAUUUCCCUUUUAGUACUUACUAAUGUUUUUAUUGUUUUGGAUGAUCCAGAAUUGAUUUGGGAUGUAGAGAUUGAAGAACAGAAAAAUCUUAAGCCAUCAGGUCAGGAUGUCAGGUUCAGAAUUGCCUGGGCAUCUUCGAGUGUCAUGAUGAUGUUGAUUAUCGGGAUAUGGAGGUACGUGUGCUCCAUACCGUGGCUGAGCCUGUCGGAUCCGCAGAGUGGCUGCACGACACCUUAGGGACCCGAUGUGAAGUCGCAUAUGCUAUUCUACAGUGCUUGCCCUCUAAAAUCUGAAUUGUCGGUUGUACAUUUAGUGUUGAACUGCAGUAAUCUACUGCACUUGCAUCUGAAUUGUACAUUUAAUAAGUUAAUACUUGAGAGUUAAGAUAGAUCACUAAUCUGGCUGGGUCUCUAUCGUUGUGGCAAUUUGGCAAGCGUUUCUAGAGGUGAUAAAUCUGCAAGCAGAAAGUCAAUGUCCUUCUGCUAUGCCGCACAAUUACAGUGCUUUCACAUUAUGGAUAACUUUGUUUCCUAAAAGUAAAAUCUUUGUCAGUGCCAAAUCAGGGUGCAGGACAAGUCAGCCAUCCGUGCGAAGUCGGUGUCAGCAAGGGUGUGGGGCGUCCGGAGGAGCAUCCGGGUUGAAGGUUCUGGCCCUCACCAUCGAGACUACCAUGGUCGUCGCCAAGUACAUCUGGAAUGAGAAGGUGGAGUUGCGACAGGAAGGAGGAAUGAAUUUCUAAUGGAUCUACUGUCUCCCUUGAGUUGGGGCGAACGUAGUGAAGCACCACGCUGUGUUUAUUGAUCUGGAAUCCAAGAGGAUCACCCGCCCUUGGUUGUUCCCUUCGUUUGUCAACUAGGUGAGACCUUCAAUUUUGUUGUGCUAUCGUCUCCAAUCUGUAACCUCUUUUGAUGUUUUUUUCCAAAUUGAGAGAUGAUAGAUAAAUAACACUGUAUUCAUAAUUUCAUUAGUUUGCCAUAUUUAUCAGAAAACAAUUUUUAACCCUCUAUUCAUUAGUUUGACAUUUUAAUAUUUUCACCAAAAUGCACAUGAAAUGGCCCAAAUUGGAAUGUGCUUAUGAUAUUUGUUGUUCAAUAAAGGAACAUAUGUCCUGCUGCUCUGAUCCAUAAUAAGGAUAGUUUUAUUUUGGGUUCACAUGGAUUCAAUCAGAAUUAUCUCAUUUUAUAAAAGUUUCUUCAAUGGUUAAGAUGGCUGAAAUCACUAGCGAUACUUCCCGUUCUUAUUUAUUUUCUCCCGUUGCAAUGCACGGGCAUGUUUGCUGCCCAGAAUUCUCAUCUCUUCAGCUUUCGCUAUAAGUUCCUAUGAUGCUCCUUUUUAGGUGACUUUUCAUGUGAUUUCUGCUUCCAAAUAUUAGAAAAUACCUUCAGAUCAAACCAGCAGAUUUGUAGAUUUCUGGGAAUUGCUGCUACUCCAUCUCCAUCUAGCCAAUGGUCUUUGGUUACUGAUUCUGAGGUACGACGUUGUUUUUUGUUAUAUCCCAUUUAGCUUGGCACCUCCAUUUAUUGGUUCGGGCCGAGCAAAGACCCUGUUGAGCAGUAUCACUGACUGGAAGCAUAAAAUUUUAGAUCAGUGAUAAGAUAAAUCCUGUGUACCGGUGCUUAGUAGCUAGCGAAAUGCGGCUGGUAUUUUUGGUCUGUAUGUAGGUAGCUUCCUGAUGUGUGUGGCUGUGUGUUCAUUCACACAGACCUGAACUUAUUUAUGUUUUUCGUUGGCUUCAUUUUAGUAAAGAUGGGGUGGGGAAAAACUACACCCUAUAUAUGUAAGUUGACUGAAAAUAAUAAUAUGUUUCAGUAGCUAUAUUUCUUCGGUUCCUAACAUGGUUGUAGGCUAGAUGUUCCUCUUGGUUUGUCUUGCUAUAGAACCUGCCCCUAUUCAUCUGUUACACAUUUUGUGUAGCUAUUAAGGAAGAAAGUAAUGGACAUUCACAGUUCAUAGUCUCCCCAUCAGCAUUUGAUGGCAGGAGCCGCUGCUUUACAGAAGAUGGAUGUGAAACCAAAAUCAUAUUUUACUAACUUUUAUUUACUGCAUAUUAUCAUUUAGCAGUAUGUUGGUUGUGCCUCCCCGUGAUCAAUGUAGAUCUUCUGCAGAUGUAGUGCAUGCAGUUCUCUCAGGCGUUAAACUUCUCAAUGGUUGACCAUGGAAAAUCUGUGUAGCUCUUGUUUCUCCAUAUGUUUCUGGUUUCGAGCUCUUACUCCUUUUGAAAUUACCAUCUUUAAACAUUGUAGAUUCCAAUCUCUUGUGUAUUUACAUCAAAGACUGUUUUCGAAUGCUUAUUAUGUACUAAACUCCCUGCCCCUCCUUCUGUCACAUGUGUUGUUCCCUUGUCAUCAGUGAGCUCGAGAAAACACAACUACAAGGUACAGAAUAGUUGCCACUUAGUUAGCAUUUUAGUUAACAUUGUAGACAUGUUAGUAACACUAUAAUGUUGGACAAUAAAUGAAUUCGACUACAUCCAAAGGAACUUAUCUUGCUUCCAAGAAUAGUAAAAUCAUCUUUAAUAUUUUCCCAAAUUUCGCUUAUAUUCAUAUUUCUUAACAUGUUUGGAAUGCCGUUUCCUCCGAAAUGCAGCAUUUACCUUCCAUUUGGAGCAUAGGAUGCAUUUUUAUCAGUUCCUGACUGAAAUAACCACUUUUCUGAUAAAAACGCUAUCCAUCAGUUAGACUUGAUUAAUUGUCUUCUAGACACACCUUCAAAUAUAUAUAAGUUCUCUGAUAAGGUAGUUGUGGGAAGACUUAUUUUUGGUUUACAUUGUAAAAAAAUUCAAUGACCACAGAUUUGACUUUCUUUUUUGCUUCUUUUCAGCUUUCAGGUCCUAAAUGAGAAGGUAAGGAUGUACUUGAGCAGUAUGAGAAGACCCAGUUCCAUCAUCUCAGAAGCCAGAAGUUCCCCAUUUAAUAUCUUUCAUUCUGAAAUUUGUUUAAGAAGAUGGUCAUUCUUCUAUUAGCAGCACGAUUAUGUGUCAAUUGUAGAUUCUUAAUUGCUUAGAAUUAUUUUAUAUGUUUGAUUCCUUCGAUUCAUAUUUAUUCAACAACAAAAUAUUUUCAAGAUUGGUCCGUUUGAGGAUCAAA